rfam:Setaria italica strain Yugu1 chromosome V, whole genome shotgun sequence.
AUCGUCGACGACAAUGAGGUGGUCUCUCAUAUUCUCAAUGGCCUUGAUUAUGAUUAUCAUCCGUUUGUUGCUUCAGUAAUUGGACGUUCAGAUCCCAUCCCCUUGAAUGAUCUCUACUCAUGGCUUUUGGCC